rnacentral:lncRNA from 1 species
AGCCAGCACCUUUAAGAACAAGGUGUGUUCCUUUAGGUUCUAACUGUUAAGAAGUCUCACAUCGGUUGCGAGAUGGCCUAAUAAGUGUUUAUAUAUUAUAGACAAUCCUUACCUUACAAGCUGGUUUUAUAAGCUGGUUUUGUAAGGAUGAGUUAAGCUCAAUACUCAUUUAUAAGACUAACCUUAGUUAGAAUGGAAUUAGGAAUUAAUUUUUGGAUCUACUGAACAUGCAUAGUAGUAGUAGUAGUAUUCAGAAUAAAUUAAGAAAAUUUUGAUUCUACAUGCAGUGAGCUAAUCCCCAUACCCCAUAUGCUCAUUUUGUGUUAAAAUGUGUUUGUUAGUUGUGUGGUAUAAAUUAGGAGUCAAUGGGCGAUGCAAAACUAUGAUUAGUAACUUGCUUUUUACUUGAAAAACUAACACUUUUCGCAUCAUGAACUGAUUGGUGGCUAUCCUAUGAUGUUAUGAAUCGAUUGAUGAUGCCCCUGAAAAGCUGAAAAACCAUUUGUAGUAAACCAAUCGAUUCACAGCCCAUGUGAAUCGAUUAGUACAAGCCUCCAGCCAGGGUGAAAAAAUUCAAUUUCAAUUGAUUCAUGGUGUUGGUGUCAUUUUGUUUAUGUGAAUCGAUUCACACUGUGUGAAAGUGAGAAAAACUAAGAUAUAAGUGAUCCUCCCUAACAUGUAUGGGAAUGAUCCAUAACUAAUAAGCAUAUGAUUUUAAUUUGCACUAAUCAAACCUAUGAAUUAGUUUUGGUUCAGGGGCGAUUGAUGUCUUAGAAUUGAGUAUUGGGUCUAACACAUCCUUACAAAAUCGGCUUGUAAGGUGAGGAUUGUCUCUAGUAUAUAAACACUUAGUCAAGCUAUCUCUCGACCGAUGUGGGACUCUUGAUGAACAUUAAGCAAUAUCUUAGAAACUAUGUAAGUUUUCCGCGGGAUGCAUGGUCACAUAGGAUGAUUAAUCACCAAGGCAAGUCAUCGCUCUGCCACGUAUUCAACGUUGUCCUUGUCGUAAUUUUGGCGACAUUGGACAUAAGUCCAAUCAAUAGUAAUAGAAAAGGUCAGAAUAUAAUAAAAAUAACAUAUAAUAAAAAUAAAAGAAAAAUACAAACCACGAAAGCAUAGUAUGACAUGACAUAAUUUGUUUAGAAAAAAACAUUUUGAUGAAGUUUUUAAAGAGAACUUGUUUAUAUUAUGUAUACAAUUCAACACCUUAUUGUGUUUAUUUCGGUUACUUUCAAAUGCUCCGUUG